rnacentral:rRNA from 1 species
GGAGGAAAAGAAACCAACAGGGAUUGCCUCAGUAACGGCGAGUGAAGCGGCAAGAGCUCAACUUUGGAAUCGCUCCGGCGAGUUGUAGUCUGGAGGUGGCCACCACGAGGUGUUCUAGCAGCAGGCAAGUCCUUUGGAACAAGGCGCCAGCGAGGGUGACAGCCCCGUACCUGCUUUUGCUAGUGCUUCCUGUGGCCCACCGACGAGUCGAGUUGUUUGGGAAUGCAGCUCUAAGUGGGUGGUAAAUUCCAUCUAAGGCUAAAUAUUGGCGAGAGACCGAUAGCGAACAAGUACAGUGAUGGAAAGAUGAAAAGCACUUUGAAAAGAGAGUGAAACAGUACGUGAAAUUGUUGAAAGGGAAGGGCUUGCACCCAGACACGGUUUCGGCCGGGCCAGCAUCAAGUAGAACGGGGUUAAAAGACUUGGGGAAUGUAGCUACUUCGGUAGUGUUAUAGCCCUUGGUGAUGACCCCUGUUUUGCUUGAGGACAGCG